rnacentral:rRNA from 1 species
GGACUACAAGGGUUUCUAAUCCUGUUUGCUACCCACGCUUUCGCGUCUCAGUGUUAGGACCGGCCCAGAAGGCCGCCUUCGCCACCGGUAUUCCUCCUAAUAUCUACGAAUUUCACCUCUACACUAGGAAUUCCACCUUCCUCUACCGUCCUCUAGCUAAGCAGUUUCGGUUGCACUUCCUCGGUUGAGCCCAGGGAUUUCACACCCGACUUACCUAACCACCUACACGCGCUUUACGCCCAAUGAUUCCGAACAACGCUUGCACCCUACGUAUUACCGCGGCGGCUGGCAC